rnacentral:lncRNA from 1 species
CCUAAUAUGCUAAUUACUGAUUAAAUUGAGAAAAUUCCUAUUAACGAUUGCGUCUUUUUUGCUUUUUUGGAAAAUCGUAAUUUCAUUUACAUCGCACACCUACUUUUGCAUUAUAUUAUUUUCCUUUCCCCCUCUAAACAAGGAAAAAAUUGGAAGAACAAUGUAUAGAGGUUAAAUGCAAUGUUUGCAAGAUCCAUUCAUAAGAAAUAGUUACUUCAAUUCAUUUCAUUAAUAUGUACUAUCUACACAUCCAUGGUUAAAAGUCGUUGUACAUUUUCUGUAUUAUGAGCAUCCAAUGACAUCUUUUUAGUUCUUUCCACAUUUUCUUUUCAUAUAGCCCUCAUGCAUCUGUUUCUCAUUCUUGUCGCGAUUUCCUUCAUUUGUGAUACAUGUAUUUGAUUUACUAAAAUGAAGUAUAAAUUUGGAAAUUCUAAUUUCUGCUAAAUGUGUUGCAAGUCUAAGAAAAGAGGACUUUCUUUGGAUGAGAAACGUGAGAAAAUGCUGCAAAUUUUUUAUUACUCGGAGGAUUUCACUUGUUUACUCCACCAGCUUGACCAGUUAUUAUUGUAUUUUUCUUUUGACUGUAAUAGGUUCUACGAUGUGCAUUUUUUUCUCAAAUUUCUUGUUCUAUAUUUUUAAUAUGCAUGGCAGCAAAUUCCUGAAGGCAAUUUAGGCAUGUAGUAAUUCUCUGUCAAUCCUUCCUAAUUCAUAUCUUUUUAGAAAGAAACUACUUUCAUAAUUCCUUACACCAAUUUGGUUUUGUUUCAGCACCAUCUAGAAAGAUUAAGAGGAAAUGCUUUAUAAAAUAAAAAUAGCUUUUUUGAAGUUUUCAUACCAGCCUGCUGUAUGCGCACAUUAUGCUCAUGAACAAUACAGUGCAAAAGGUUCAGCCUCUGCUACGGAAGCCCGCUCCAAGACCUUCGAAUCGAUGAUUUUCAGGCUUAGUUUUAUGUUAUCUUUCUCUACCAAACAACCAAUCCAAACUGUUCCUACGCACAACCACUAUAUUCACCUCAGCUCCGACCCACAACCAACAAGGACCAAAAAUUUUGCUGCUUAAGGCACGGCCGGGAGUUUCCCCUUUGGAUAAUGAAGCACAAACUCAAACAAUUAUUCAUUGGGUUCUUGGUAGUCGCAGUCCUCAUUUCACAGUGAACUCUUAUCUAGUUUCUUUAAAAUUAUAAUAGUAUGCUGAAUGCAAAGUUUUUUGGCAAGACGUUAUCCUAAUAUUUCUUCUUCCAUAUUUUCUGGAUUAAGUAAUGACACAAUGUGAAAGAAGAUUAGAAUAGUGUUUUAUAGCUUCCCCCAACUGCUUCCUCAUAGUGUAUUUAUUAAUUAAAUAGUAAU